AGUAGCACUUUAUACACGCUCCCAAAUGACCCGAAACCGUUACUCGUCAGAAUGAAUUCUAGUAAAACUCUUUUGUCACAAGACGCCAGAGUUUGAGAUUCAGCGUAGGACCAGAACAGAUGACGUGAUUGCCAUGGAAUCAGUCCGUUUAUACACAACAGGAGCAUAUUUAGAACGGAGAUAACGGGUCACUCGUACAGUACGCUCUAUAGAGAAAUGUGGGAGUGUAAUGAUGUUAAGAGUUAGAGCUACACCCAAACAAGAAGGACUGGGGAUGAUGGAUGGUGAUGCCUCCACUGCCUACAAGGCGGACAGACGCGUGGAUGGAUGGAUGGAUGCAUGGAUGGACGGACGGAAGGAUGGAUAUACAGAUGCACGGACACCCCGAAAAC